CCAGAACACAGGUGUCAUGAAAGCCACCGCUAAACCUAAACCAAAAUGGGAAAGGAAAAGACUCAUUUCAACAUCAUCGCCCUUGGACAGAUUGGAUGACAGUCUGUAGGGAGAGAGAGA